AUGGCCAGUUACCAACAAGAUUCCAACACACAGCAGUUGAUCACCAGGUUGGCGCUGGAUCCAAGCAGCGAGGAAGGAUAUGCCCUGCAGGAGGGAAUUAUCAAAUACCAAGGGCGCAUCUGGAUUGGCACAGAUCCAGAAACUCAGAAAACAUUGAUCGCAGCUCUCCAUGACAGUGCAGCAGGAGGACACUCAGGGUUUCAUGCCACCUACAACCGGGUGCGCAGGUUAUUUGCAUGGAAAGGGCUCAAGGUUAUGGUCAAAGAAUUCGUGCAACAAUGCCAGACAUGUCAAAAGGCAAAAACAGAGAGGAUUCCCCCAGCUGGUCUGUUGCAGCCCUUGCCAAUACCAAAACGAGCAUGGGCAGUUAUCUCGCUCGACUUCAUCGAAGGAUUGCCUGCAUCAGGUGGUUAUAAUGUCAUCCUGGUGGUUGUGGAUAAGUUCUCUAAGUACGGCCACUUCCUGCCCAUGAAACACCCAUACACAACCCUGUCAGUGGCUAUGACCUUCAUGCACAAUAUCUUCAAGCUCCAUGGGAUGCCUCUGGCAAUCAUCUCAGAUCGUGACAGGGUGUUCACCAGCAACCUUUGGCAAGAGAUGUUCAAGAUAGCUCAAACACAACUCAGAAUGAGUUCAUCAUACCACCCUCAAACUGACGGCCAAACGGAGCGGGUGAAUCAAUGCCUCGAAACAUACCUACGAUGCUCAGUGCACGCUUGCCCCAAGAACUGGUACAAGUGGCUAUUCCUGGCUGAAUACUAG
rnacentral:rRNA from 1 species